rnacentral:piRNA from 1 species
UCCCAGCUGACAGGGUGAUAAAAGGCAGGGA